UACAGAGGGUGCAAGCGUUAAUCGGAAUUACUGGGCGUAAAGCGUGCGUAGACGGUUACAUAAGUCGGGUGUGAAAUCCCUCGGCUCAACCGAGGAAGUGCGCCCGAAACUGCAGGGCUUGAGUACCGGAGAGGAUGGCGGAAUUCCCCAAGUAGAGGUGAAAUUCGUAGAUAUGGGGAGGAACACCGGUGGCGAAGGCGGCCAUCUGGACGGAUACUGACGCUGAGACGCGAAAGCGUGGGGAGCAAACAGG
rnacentral:rRNA from 1 species